rnacentral:piRNA from 1 species
UGUGCAUGUGUGUUCUGACAUCCAUGUG